AGAAACCAACAGGGAUUGCCUCAGUAACGGCGAGUGAAGCGGCAUAAGCUCAAAUUUGAAAUCUGGCUCUUUCAGGGUCCGAGUUGUAAUUUGUAGAAGAUGUUUCGGGUGUGGUUCCGGUCUAAGUUCCUUGGAACAGGACGUCAUAGAGGGUGAGAAUCCCGUAUGUGACUGGAUACCUACGCCCAUGUGAAACUCUUUCGACGAGUCGAGUUGUUUGGGAAUGCAGCUCAAAAUGGGUGGUAUAUUUCAUCUAAAGCUAAAUAUUGGCCAGAGACCGAUAGCGCACAAGUAGAGUGAUCGAAAGAUGAAAAGCACUUUGGAAAGAGAGUUAAACAGUACGUGAAAUUGUUGAAAGGGAAGCGCUUGCAAUCAGACUUGCGCCUAGUUGAUCAUCCGGGCUUUUGUCCGGUGCACUCAAUUAGGCUCAGGCCAGCAUCGGUUUGGGUGGUUGGAUAAAGGCUUAGGGAACGUGGCCCCCUUCGGGGGGUGUUAUAGCCCUAGGUGCAAUGCAGCCUACCUGGACCGAGGACCGCGCUUCGGCUAGGAUGCUGGCGUAAUGGUUGUAAGCGACCCGUCUUGAAACACGGACCAAGGAGUCGACCUAUUUAGCGAGUGUUUGGGUGUUAAACCCAUACGCGUAAUGAAAGUGAACGGAGGUGAGAACCCGUUAGGGCGCAUCAUCGACCGAUCCUGAUGUCUUCGGAUGGAUUUGAGUAUGAGCUAAGUGGGUCGGACCCGAAAGAUGGUGAUCUAUACGUGAAUAGGGUGAAGCCAGAGGAAACUCUGGUGGAGGCUCGCAGCGGUUCUGACGUGCAAAUCGAUCGUCAAAUUUGCGUAUAGGGGCGAAAGACUAAUCG
rnacentral:rRNA from 1 species